CAGCAGCCGCGGGAAUACGGAGGGUGCAAGCGUUAAUCGGAAUUACUGGGCGUAAAGCGCACGCAGGCGGUUUGUUAAGUCAGAUGUGAAAUCCCCGAGCUUAACUUGGGAACUGCAUUUGAAACUGGCAAGCUAGAGUCUUGUAGAGGGGGGUAGAAUUCCAGGUGUAGCGGUGAAAUGUGUAGAGAUCUGGAGGAAUACCGGUGGCGAAGGCGGCCCCCUGGACAAAGACUGACGCUCAGGUGCGAAAGCGUGGGGAGCAAACAGGAUUAGAUACCCCGGUAGUCCCUGUCUCUUAUAA
rnacentral:rRNA from 1 species